rnacentral:rRNA from 1 species
UACGUAGGGGGCAAGCGUCGUCCGGAAUCAUUGGGCGUAAAGCGCGUGUAGGCGGUUACGUAAGUCUGCUGUGAAAGUCGGAGGCUCAACCUUCGAAAGCCGGUGGAUACUGCGUGACUUGAGUUCGGAAGGGGCUAGUGGAAUUCCUGGUGUAGCGGUGAAAUGCGCAGAUAUCAGGAGGAACACCAACGGCGAAGGCAGCUAGCUGGUACGACACUGACGCUGAGACGCGAAAGCGUGGGGAGCAAACAGG